UUUUAAAACUUUAAUUCUCUAUGUGGACUAUUUUGGUGAAAACAGCCCACAUGGCUUCAAUACUUGCUAGAUUUGUGUUCUACCACUUGGGUUUACUAGAUAACUCAUGUAUCUAGUAUUCCCCUUCGACGGAUCACAAAUCCAAGUUGUAAAACCUGAGUUACACAAGAUUUAGUAGAAGAAAAACAAGGGUUUAACCCCUAGGAGAACAUAUGCUCAUUUUCUUUCUCUAAACCGUUGAUCUAAUACUCAAGAUACUUAGUUCCAU
rnacentral:lncRNA from 1 species